UGCCAGACUCCUACGGGAGGCAGCAGUGAGGAAUAUUGGUCAAUGGCCGGAAGGCUGAACCAGCCAAGCCGCGUGAGGGAGGAAGGCGCAGAGCGUCGCAGACCUCUUUUGCCGGGGGACAAAAGGCCGGACUCGUCCGGUCCUGAGGGUACCCGGAGAAAAAGCAUCGGCUAACUCCGUGCCAGCAGCCGCGGUAAUACGGAGGAUGCGAGCGUUAUCCGGAUUUAUUGGGUUUAAAGGGUGCGUAGGCGGACAGUCAAGUCAGCGGUAAAAAUGCGGUGCUCAACGCCGUACAGCCGUUGAAACUGGCAGUCUUGAGUGGGCGAGAAGUAUGCGGAAUGCGUGGUGUAGCGGUGAAAUGCAUAGAUAUCACGCAGAACUCCGAUUGCGAAGGCAGCAUACCGGCGCCCGACUGACGCUGAGGCACGAAAGCGUGGGUAUCGAACAGGAUUAGAUACCCUAGUAC
rnacentral:rRNA from 1 species